GGAGGAUGCGAGCGUUAUCCGGAUUUAUUGGGUUUAAAGGGUGCGCGGGCGGGCCGGUAAGUCAGCGGUGAAAUGUCGGGGCUCAACCCCGGCAGUGCCGUUGAUACUGUUGGUCUUGAGUGCGGUGAAGGCAGGCGGAAUGCAGUGUGUAGCGGUGAAAUGCGUAGAUAUGCUGCAGAACUCCGAUAGCGAAGGCAGCUUGCCGUACCUGCACUGACGCUCAUGCACGAAAGCGUGGGGAUCAAACAGGAUUAGAUACCCUGGUAGUCCACGCUGUAAACGAUGGACACUCGUUGUCGGCGACAGACAGUCGGCGGCCGAGCGAAAGUGUUAAGUGUCCCACCUGGGGAGUACGGUCGCAAGGCUG
rnacentral:rRNA from 1 species